rnacentral:rRNA from 1 species
GAUGAACGCUGGCGGCGUGCCUAAUACAUGCAAGUCGAGCGAAUGGAUUAAGAGCUUGCUCUUAUGAAGUUAGCGGCGGACGGGUGAGUAACACGUGGGUAACCUGCCCAUAAGACUGGGAUAACUCCGGGAAACCGAGGCUAAUACCGGAUAACAUUUUGAACCGCAUGGUUCGAAAUUGAAAGGCGGCUUCGGCUGUCACUUAUGGAUGGACCCGCGUCGCAUUAGCUAGGUGGUGAGGUAACGGCUCACCAAGGCAACGAUGCGUAGCCGACCUGAGAGGGUGAUCAGCCACACGGGGACUGAGACACGGCCCAGACUCCUACGGGAGGCAGCAGUAGGGAAUCUUCCGCAAUGGACGAAAGUCUGACGGAGCAACGCCGAGUGAGUGAUGAAGGCUUUCGGGUCGUAAAACUCUGUUGUUAGGGAAGAACAAGUGCUAGUUGAAUAAGCUGGCACCUUGACGGUACCUAACCAGAAAGCCACGGCUAACUACGUGCCAGCCGCCGCAGUAA